rnacentral:rRNA from 1 species
UACGAAGGGUGCAAGCGUUACUCGGAAUUACUGGGCGUAAAGCGUGCGUAGGUGGUUGUUUAAGUCUGCUGUGAAAGCCCUGGGCUCAACCUGGGAAUUGCAGUGGAUACUGGGCGACUAGAGUGUGGUAGAGAUAGUGGAAUUUCCGGUGUAGCAGUGAAAUGCGUAGAGAUCGGAAAGGAACAUCUGUGGCGAAGGCGACUAUCUGGCCAACACUGACACUGAGGCACGAAAGCGUGGGGAGCAAACAGG